CACUGGUUUAGCAGUGAGUCAAUCAAUCAGUAGAGAGCUUCAGUGCCCAGGAGCACCCUGAAGAGGAAGAACCUCUUAUCUUUCUAAUAUUUUGGUAAGGGUAAGGGCCAAUGAUUCUGAAGGAUCUUUUACAUUACUCCCUUACACAGCUGACCAUGUCUGAAGAUACUGAACCAAUAGGAGAUAAUGUAUUCAACCAGUGGCAGAGAUAUACCAAGGACUCACUGAAAACAAUCCAAACCAACAUGGAUGCAGAGAUCUAGACUUAAAAAAGUGAAAUAACUUCAAGCAUCAUGACCUUUUAUAUAAGGGAAGAGUGGCAGCCAUGGACUCAAGAAAGGACGUCCAGUUAUGAUGAAAGUCUCAAAUCUGGACCACUGGAUUGUCUGAAUAUAAUUUGGUUCAGAAUAUCCCCCCUUUUAAGGAAAGAAGGGUACUAUUGGACAUGGAAAUGGAGAAAGAGGGGGAGCCUUAAGAAGAGAAAGUGGAAAAAAAAUAUCCAUCUUUCUCAGACUUGGAAAAAGACCAUUGGAAUUCACCAUAUGAACAACUAUUAGGGGGAAGAAUGGUCAAAAUGGCAAGAAAUCUCAAUGUGGGAGGAUAAAUAAGACCUAACCUUUGGUGGUACUGUGAUCCAUAUGAACUCUUUAAGUAAUAAAGGAAAACAAUGCCCUCUAACUUUCUAUGAC
rnacentral:lncRNA from 1 species